ACAUGCCUACAACAUAGCAUUAAUGCAUUGGAUCCCAUUAGAACUCUGCAAUUAAGCAUUCUCAGGAUAGAGUAGUACUGGGAUGGGCGACUUCAUGGGAAGUCCUAGUGUUUUACAUGCC
rfam:Picea glauca, whole genome shotgun sequence.